GACAUGAAAAGAUAGAUGUGAAGUUUCCUAACUCUGUGGCCUCUGGGGGAUAAAUACAGACGUCCCUGUACCGAUCCUUCAGACUCUACUAAGCUUGUCUAUGAAUUGUGAGACCUAUGUAACCUAGACCUCUGAUACCAACUUGUCACAACCCGGAUUUUCCACCCUCAGGAGUCGUGAUGACGCCUACUUGUGAAAGCUAGACAAGCCAACCAUUUGAACAAUUUACCUUUUUCCAAUUUUUAAUCCUUUAAUAAUUAUGAACCAACAGUUUAUAAACAGCAGAAUUCAAACAAGCGGAAGAAACGAAUAAAAUCAUUUAAAUAUUUCCAAUACAAUACGUUAAACAAAUACUACCCAAAACUGGUGUCACAACUUCACAAACGGUCUAGGAAUACUACAAACAAGGUCCAAAAAUAAAUACAACCCUGUUUCUGAAUUACAUAAAUGAAACAGGAUGAAAGGAUGGAGGGAGAUGCCAGGGAAUGCGGACGCCUAUAGGGCUAUCUUGGAUCUCCGAAUAGACUAAAGGCAGCCACCCAAAGCUACGGUCUAAAAGUUGUUGUACCGGGACCUGCACACAGUGCAGAGUGUAGUAUCAGCACUAUCGACGACCCCAUGUGCUGGUAAGUAUCGAGCCUAACCUCGGCGAAGUAGUGAUGAGGAUAGGACAAAACUAUCAACUAAACUUGUGCAGUUAAAACAUAUACAUAGCAAGUAAUAAUAAAGGAAACUAGCAGUUAAAGAUGGGAAGGGGACAUGCUGUGGGGGAAUAUCAUUUACCAAUAGUAACUCAGGAGAAAAGCAUAAAGAACAAUUUAAAAUUUGCAACAGAAAGAAUAAGGAAAUAGUAACAAAUCAAUAUCCACCUUUAUCCUUUAUUGUUGCGGUGCGCAACCCGAUCCAAAUCAUAAAACACUGUUAUAGCGUGCAAUCCGAUCCAUAUCACAUAUCAUUGUUGCGGCAUGCAACCCUAUCUGAAUAUAAUAUUGUUGCGGCAUGCAAUCCGACCCAAAUAUAAUAUUUUUACGGCGUGCAACCCGAUCCAAAUAUAAUAUUAUUGCGGCGUACAAUCCGAUCCCAAUAUACAAUUCAACACCAAUCACAAAGGAGCCCUAACAAGGGAAAAAUAAGGGAACGACAAUAUCCCGGCAAGGGAAUCAAUAACAUCAUAGUAAAAUCAAGUAACAACAAAAAAUCAGUAAAUAAACGUAAAGGACAACAUAAUUCAAUUAUCAGCAAGAUUCAGAAAAAUCAAGGACAAGUGCAUGACAUCACCCUUCGUGCUUUAACCCUCUCUUACCAAAACAAUAAUCACAAGAAAUAAGGGCAAAGAAAUAAAUGAAAUCACAAAAAAAUCCCAGCAUGGGAACAAUAUUACAACAAUCGAAUCCCGGCGAGGGAACAAUAUCAGAAACAUCAACAUCCCAGAAAGGGAGAUAGCAUUUAAAAGCAACAACGUCCCAGCAAGGGAGACAAUAUAAUAAUCCUCUUCUCUUUUCCUUUUUACAUUUACUUCAAAACUCACUUCACAACUUGAGCCAGAGGCGGAACCAAGUUUCAAACGCAGUGGGUUCUAAAUUCUAGCAUUCCGACAUCAGGUUUAGUAACAAGGUCUAAUACCAAGAAACAGUGAUGAGAAAGGAAAAGACAAUGAAAAAGGAAAAGCUGAUAUAUUUUACCAUUACUACAAAGGGGAGGUUCAUUUCUUUCCGUUUUCAUCACAGGUAAUGGUUACAGAUCUUCUGUUUCUUCAAAGGUUAAAAGGCUAAUGAUCCGAAUAGUGAUUCAGCUUUCAUUUGUUUGCAAAUCUUGCUUAUUAUAUAAAAUAUAAUGAUAAUUUUAUCUCUAAGUAGUACCCAUGUAAAUGCAAGUUGGUCUCACUAAAAAACUAAAAACAAGAAAUUAGGACCAGUGGAUCACUAAGAGAAAAACAUGAACACAAAAUCAGAAUAGAAAAAGAAGAAGGAAGAAUGGUCUAACUUCUAAGGGAGAAAGAGCACACACAGUGGAGAUUUAGAGGGUAUCUGGCAUAUUGUGGUAACAACGAUUGUGGAUCAACAGAGGCAGAGCAGAACCCUAAUUUUUAUUUUUGAUUUGGGAAUUUAGGUUUGUUGUUUGGAGUUGGAAGGCUUCUGUUCUUUUGUUUAUUAGAAAGAAAAUAUUUUUAUGUUUUAUUUAUUAAAAGAAAAAAUGUUAGUCUCUGUUUAGAGGUCAAAUUAUGGGACAACUCUAGAAUCAAAUAUUAAAAAUUAAAUUUUGCAUAAAAUAUCAAAUAUAAAAUAUAAGAUAAAAACAUGAAGCAAAAAAUCAGAAAAUAAGAAUUGAAGAAGGAAGAACUAAGAAGGGUCUAACUUCUAAAGGAUAAAGAGCAUACACUGAUACACAGUGGAGAGUUGGAGGGCGUCCGCCAGAUUGUGGUACCAGUGGUUGUCAAUCAAUCGGAGGCAGAGGCGCAGAACAACUGAGCAGAACCCUAGUUUUUUUUGUGAUUUGGGAAUUGGAAGAAAACAUUUGUGUUUAAAGUUGGAAAGCUUCUGGUCUUUGUUUAUUAGAAAGAAAACAAGUUGUUGUGUUUUAUUUAUUAAAUAAUAUUAGUGUAAUGUUUGUUGAGAGAAAAGUCAGAAGAAACGUUAAAGUUGGG
rnacentral:lncRNA from 1 species